rnacentral:lncRNA from 1 species
GUUUUCCUGCUGUAGCCUCACCUUGCUGCUGAGCACAGAGUAGGAGCCUGCUGGGUGCCAGGUUUGGAUGUUUUAAUCUCUGAGUGGCUCCUACGACGUCUUCACGCGCUGCUUGGACAAUGAAAGUGAAUGACCAGCAGCUCUGUCACUACAGGAAGGUCUAUAAAGCUUGCAGAAUACACAAAAGCCAAACUCAGAACCACUCGGAAUAGGAAGAUUCAGCUGCUGGUUGCUUCUCUGCAUAGAACAAAGAAUUUCAUGUCUUUGGAUUUCUGUUUUUUUACACUCGUGGACUCAUGGACACGCAGCACUAAGCAGUGCAUUGCCUGGCACCCACUGGAUGUCUCACAGCAGCGAUGGUGCAGCAUUUGAAUGCUCUACAGCAUGUUUGCACUGACUUUAUUUUUUUCUGUCUUAGGCAUGUAAACUGGCUCCCGUGUUUACUUAAACAUCAUAAAUACGUUGGGGCCAAAGUGGUUUUGUUCUGUUUCUUCCCAUGGGAUGUAUCCAAUUCAGGAUAUUAUUUUCAGAUAAUGGCUUAAAUGGGAAUAUGCGUGUUCACAUACUGCUAACAUGACUGCCAUAAUAAUAUGAUCUCUUUUAGGAAAUUAUGCAUGCAGAAUCAGCACAUUGAUAAGUGCUGUAUAAAGCUAAAAUUCAGAAGUGACAGUUAAUGACUUAUCUGUCGAAGGUAGCCAACUGUCCUAAGGAAAAAUAAUUGUUUC